rnacentral:lncRNA from 1 species
CUGGAUCAGAAUGUAAAGUUCUGGCUUCCCUGGGAAUUGUUCUAGCUCUGUCGUUCUCUGUCUCUCUCAUUGCUCUGUCGUUCUUGGACUGCGUUAUCUGCUUCUUGUGAAUAUUUGCAAUUCCUUCCCACAGUUCUCCCAGUGUGCAGUUGAGUCUGUGGCUUGGUUCUGAUAGAAUGAGCACAGGAGCAGAGCUUUGAUAACUGAGGCCCAAGGACCGUUGCAUUUCCUUCUCCUUCCUGUGUGAUGUGGAAGUUGGGGGAACUUCAUUUCUGGCUAACCUCAACUUAGAUUGUGUUUUAAAGAACUUGAAGGGAAGGAAGGUGACUCAGCAUAGAAAGGAGCUUGCCACUAAACCCGACAAUUUGAUUCUGACCCCUCAAACCCACAUGAUAGAAGAAGAGACACAGUUCCCUCAUGGUGCCGUCCGAUCUUCACUUGCACACAAUGACAUGUGUGCACAUGUAUAUGGAAUUAAUCUUUUAGUGUAAAUAUAUUUAAAGAAACAUGUGCUUUUAUUUAACAUUCAGCAUGUUUUAAUAUUUCUGAUGUCCCAGUUAAGCUUAAUUUUCUUUACUUUUAUCUUCUAUACUUACAAAUUCAUGUUGCUAUAUUCUUACCAUUGAUACUAUAAUUAAAAUAAUUUAUAUGUCAUAAUUAGAGCAUUGCUUAAUUUUGAAUGUAUAAGGACGGGACAGAUUUGAAUUCCAGUCUUCCUUUCCAAAUUAUAGAUGAACCAUAAACACAGAGCUUGUUCGAAAUAGAGGAGCUUAGGAAUCAUUCUAGACACAUUGAGUUAAGACCCAUGGUUUUGCUCAGGUCACUCAUUUGUACACCAAGGAUUCACAAGAUCUGGAUUUGGUCCUCAUAAGGUUUUUUACUUUUUAAGUUUUAAAAUAUAUACAAUUUCAAACCUUUGUAAUUGAAAAGUACUAUACAAGCUCCUCUGAGAUGUCAUUCUCUCAAGAAAGAGAGUAAGGAGGAGCACAUGGGAUGGUUUGGAGGGAAGAAAGAAUAAGUUCAUGAUGUAACUACAUUGUAAUGUCAAAAAAUAAAAGAGCAAAUAAACAAAUAAAUAAAAAAUGA